AUUGAACGCUGGCGGCAGGCCUAACACAUGCAAGUCGAGCGAGCGGCGGACGCGUGAGUAAUGUCUGGGAAACUGCCUGAUGGAGGGGGAUAACUACUGGAAACGGUAGCUAAUACCGCAUACCAUCAGAUGUGCCCCGAUGGGAUUAGCUAGUGGUGGGGGUAACGGCUCACCUAGGCGACGAUCCCUAGCGGGUCUGAGAGGAUGACCAGCCACACUGGAACUGAGACACGGUCCAGACUCCUACGGGAGGCAGCAGUGGGGAAUAUUGCACAAUGGGCGCAAGCCUGAUGCAGCCAUGCCGCGUGUGUGAAGAAGGCCUUCGGGUUGUAAAGCACGUUCAGCGGGGAGGCGUUACCCGCAGAAGAAGCACCGGCUAACUCCGUGCCAGCAGCCGCGGUAAUAC
rnacentral:rRNA from 1 species